GGGCCUUUGGUCUAGUUGGUUAUGACACCGCCUUUACACGGCGGAGGUCGCCGGUUCGAAUCCGGCAGGGCCCA
rnacentral:tRNA from 1 species